rnacentral:rRNA from 1 species
CAGCAGCCGCGGUAAUACGUAGGGUGCGAGCGUUAAUCGGAAUUACUGGGCGUAAAGCGUGCGCAGGCGGUUCGUUAAGACAGAUGUGAAAUCCCCGGGCUUAACCUGGGAACUGCAUUUGUGACUGGCGAGCUAGAGUAUGGCAGAGGGGGGUAGAAUUCCACGUGUAGCAGUGAAAUGCGUAGAGAUGUGGAGGAAUACCGAUGGCGAAGGCAGCCCCCUGGGCCAAUACUGACGCUCAUGCACGAAAGCGUGGGGAGCAAACAGGAUUAGAGACCCCAGUAGUCCCUGUCUCUUAUAC